UACGAAGGGGGCUAGCGUUGCUCGGAAUUAACUGGGCGUAAAGCGUGCGCAGGCGGCUAUGCAAGACAGAUGUGAAAUCCCCCGGGCUCAACCUGGGAACUGCAUUUGUGACUGCAUAGCUAGAGUACGGUAGAGGGGGAUGGAAUUCCGCGUGUAGCAGUGAAAUGCGUAGAUAUGCGGAGGGAACACCGAGUGGACGGAAGGCAAUCCCCUGGACCUGUAC
rnacentral:rRNA from 1 species